AGUGAACGCUGGCGGUGGGCCUAACACAUGCAAGUCGAACGGCAGCACAGUAAGAGCUUGCUCUUACGGGUGGCGAGUGGCGGACGGGUGAGGAAUACAUCGGAAUCUACUUUUUCGUCGGGGAUAACGUAGGGAAACUUACGCUAAUACCGCAUACGACCUACGGGUGAAAGCAGGGGAUCUUCGGACCUUGCGCGAUUGAAUGAGCCGAUGUCGGAUUAGCUAGUUGGCGGGGUAAAGGCCCACCAAGGCGACGAUCCGUAGCUGGUCUGAGAGGAUGAUCAGCCACACUGGAACUGAGACACGGUCCAGACUCCUACGGGAGGCAGCAGUGGGGAAUAUUGGACAAUGGGCGCAAGCCUGAUCCAGCCAUACCGCGUGGGUGAAGAAGGCCUUCGGGUUGUAAAGCCCUUUUGUUGGGAAAGAAAAGCAGCAGGUUAAUACCCCGCUGUUCUGACGGUACCCAAAGAAUAAGCACCGGCUAACUUCGU
rnacentral:rRNA from 1 species